CUUAGCUGCCUGGGCCAAGUCCUGGCCCUACCUUUCUUCCAGCUGCAAGACCAUUUCACCUGCUCAGCCUCAGCUUCCCAUCUGCCAGUGAGGGACAACCUGUCUGGAAUGGUGGCUGAGUCUGAAAUGAACAUCACCUGGUGAUGUGCAAGCCAGGUGAGAAUGCCACCGUGCAACAUAAAAUGAUAAGAAUUGGACAAAAUGAUGCCUGCAAAGUGUUCAGUGGCACUUGAGGGAAGAGUAGCCACUGUCCUGCUUUUUGCCUGGGGCAGGCCUGGUGCUGCAGGAUCUGGGCAGAGGCCUCCUUGAUCGUCCCCACCCAUCAGGUGGCGGUGACAAUGGUCAGGAUUCUGCAGUUAUAUGAAUGGCCACCAGGAGUCACCCUCAGCUCAUGCUUGAAGUGAAGGCAGCACAGAAAAAGGGAAAGGAGCUGUAAGGGAGAAAAGGAGGAGGACACCCCACCACAGAGUGGAUGAGCCUGGAGGGGACCCAAGGCUGCCAGAGUGGCUGCUUCAUUUCUGCAGGAAGGUGCAGGACAGAACUCAGACUGGUGGGCACCGUGCCAGCAGGCAGAGGAGGGAGCAAAGGCUCAUUUGUCUGCCUUCGGAAUUCUCCUUCCCAUGCUGAUGUCAAAUCACAAUUCAACAGAUUCUUCAUGGGGCACCUGCUGCACACAGAGGGACAGGAAUCUUACUGAACACCUAGUAUAUGCCAGAGCCUACACACACAGUGGGCUACUCAACAUUCACAACAACUCUGUACAGUAAGUACAAAUAUUGGUCCCAAGAUACAGAUUGGGAAACUGAGGCUUAUACCAGUUAUGUGUUGUGCCCAAGGUCACCAAGCUGGAUGAGGACUGACGCCUGUCUGGAGCCUAAAUUCUUUCUCCUACACCAGAUUGACUUCCAGAGAGUUCUAGGAUACAAAGCUGGCAACAGACUUUCUGCCACGUAGAGGGAUAUGGCAGGUGACAACCCUGUCUGGCUCUGCUAAUCAGGAUCCAGUAAGAAGCUCAAGACAGGUGGCCACUCUGCUGGUAGGCAGAGGAGGGAGCUGUGCUCCCUGGGGUGGGUAGAAGUAAGGUUUGUGUGGGUGCUGGGUGUUGGACACGGGCAGGCUGCAGACAUAGCAGCAAUGAGGGGAGACUCUCUCAACCUGCCCAUGUCCUCCUCUGAGCAAUCUCCCCGCCCCAGAAUUAUUUCAGUUUCCUCAUCUGUCAGUUCUAGGGGUGGACUUCAUUCAUUCAAUACUGUGUCCCUGACCUCUGCUCCCUGCCAGGCUCUGAACUAGUCAUGUGUCAGGCUGGAUACUUAGAUGGACAAGACAAGCCAUCCCCUGCCCACAGCUGCCCCACCUGAAGUCUAGGCCAGUGACCUCCGAAGUUUUUUUGAUCAUGUGCCCUUAGCAAUAAAAAAGAUUGUUGAGU
rnacentral:lncRNA from 10 species